GGGGCUGUAGCUCAGUUGGGAGAGCGCAGCGUUCGCAAUGCUGAGGUCGAGGGUUCGCCUCCCCCCAGCCCCCCCA
rnacentral:tRNA from 1 species